GAUGAACGCUAGCGGCAGGCCUAAUACAUGCAAGUCGAACGAUACCAAGGGGCUUGCUCCUUGGAAAAGUGGCGCACGGGUGCGUAACGCGUAUGCAACCUACCUUUAUCAGGGGGAUAGCCCGGAGAAAUCCGGAUUAAUACCGCAUAAAAUCACAGGAUGGCAUUAUCCAAUGAUCAAACAUUUAUGGGAUAAAGAUGGGCAUGCGUGUCAUUAGCUAGUUGGCGGGGUAACGGCCCACCAAGGCGACGAUGACUAGGGGAUCUGAGAGGAUGGCCCCCCACACAGGUACUGAGACACGGACCAGACUCCUACGGGAGGCAGCAGUAAGGAAUAUUGGUCAAUGGGCGGAAGCCUGAACCAGCCAUGCCGCGUGCAGGAAGACUGCCCUAUGGGUUGUAAACUGCUUUUAUCCGGGAAUAAACCUACUUACGUGUAAGUAGCUGAAUGUACCGGAAGAAUAAGGAUCGGCUAACUCCGUGCCAGCAGCCGCAGUAA
rnacentral:rRNA from 1 species